CUACGAUUGAGACACUAAAUCACGGCGGGUCUUCAGCUCCAAAAAGCAACCGACAGUAGAGCAUCUUCGCUGUGCAGGUCGAAUAAGGGUGGUUUACCGCUCUAUAUUGCCGCUGGCUAGGAUUUCAUGCCCCCUGUUACCCGCCGUGCUGCCAAAGCAUUGAAGCCGAUUGGGAUCCAGAAAUCUCUUUC